CCUUGACCCUCCCUUGCUGAAGGCAGACAGAGUUUCAGAUUGCUGAGAUGGAAUUGGUUGCCCUGGCAGGUUAUCUAUGCCAGGAAUGAGACAGGGAGAGUGUGCCCCAAUUGGUUCUGCUGGAUGUCAUAGCAGCUUUCAAUACUGUCUGUCACAGUAUCCUUCUGGGCUGCUUGCUUCAGAUGGGACCCCAAGAAACCUUCCUAGAAGAUUGUGAUGCAAGAAACUUCCACUUGCUGUCUAGCAGGAUUCCAUCUUGCUGUUCAAUAUAUACAGGAAACAAAUAGAGGGCAUCACCUGGAAUCUUCUGUCAUCAAUAUGCUGACAAUAUGCAGAUCUACUUACGCUUUACAUCUAACUCCAUGCAGAAGCAGUGGGGAUUCUGAACCACUGUCCAAAACUGGUGAUGGGCUAGAUGAGACUAACAAACCAAAACUUAUGGGAUUACUGUAACAUGCUGUACAUAGGACUGCCUUAGAAGACUGUUCACGAACUUCUGCUGGUUCAAAACACAGCAGCAAAACUCCUUAAAGGGUGCUGGCACAACUCUUCUUUUAUACCAGCUGCUGUGGCUGCUAGAACAUUUCUGGGAUCAAGUCAAAGUGCCGGGUAUCACCUUCAAAGCUGAACUGCUCUGACAAAUUCCAUCUGCUACAUUUAGCGGGAGACACCAUUCAAUGUUUACCAUCGCCAUCAGAAAUAUGUUCUCUCCUUAGUUGUUUUUGUUAUACAGUACAUGUUUUCUUGUUUCAGCAACCCUUUGACCUCCCUUUAUGCAGUUUGGCUUUUCCUCCCAAUAACUUUUUAAAAACUUGUUGUGCUUUUCUGUU